UCCAAUUGACUAUAUUAAAUUCAUUUCGGUCCCAUUUGUUUCAAUCCAUUUAAUUCGAUUGAGUCCAAAUUGAUUCAUUGAUUGUUAUCCAAUUUAGGUUAAUUGUUUCCAAUUAAUUUAAUUCAGCCCAAUUCAGACCCCUGAUUUUGUCCAAUUGAUACAACUUAGUCCAGAAUCCAAAUUAAACCCUAAGAUCCAGCAAUUAAUUUUCAAAUCUUUUGGUCAUUAAACCCAAAUGCAAUCUCCUAAUUCCCAGCCUUGGAAUCCCAGAAUUCCAUCAAUCACAAUUAAAAAACCAGAUUCCUAGAAUAGUCCCAAACUUUCAGCUUUGCUCCCCAUUUAAAAACCAGCACAGACAAGAGCACGGAGGGGGACGAUACACAACACACAAAAAAAAAAACACUAGAGGGCCUUUCCUUCAACAAAAAGAUCACCCACCAACACUGGAAAAUUUUCCAGUUUCCCUUCCACCCUAAGCUUUCAUCCCCAUACUCUCAAGCCACCAAAUCAGUACCAACAAUCCAGCCAUGAACCAUUGCAGAUUAACCAUCACCAUGAACUUUCAACACUGACCCUCCUUCCAAAACCACCACAGACCACCAUCACCGUCCCAUCUCUUCAAACUGAAACCACUCACCCAGCCUAAGCCUCCACCUAUCGCAGUCCUGCACCCAAACCUUGUGUCUCCCAACCAAACACUCAAACCAAAACAGCACCAACACAGUUGCCUCUCCAUUUUCACAAUCAUCAACCACCCACGGCUGAUCCAGCAAUAGCAGCCCCCCAUCGUGACAGCCACCCAUCCAUUCACCUCUGAUUUCGGCCAAACACAGCUGUCCCUCCAUUUUCUCCAGCAGCUCCACCAUCCACGGCUGUUCCAGCAACAGCAACCCAAGACCUCAUCCUCCCAACAAAAACCGUCACUUUCACCCCCAUCCCUCCACCGUGGCCAUUAGCCAACAGCCCCUGUUCUAGCCACCCCAACAAUCCCAUCACAAAGACUCGCCCUUUCCUCGUGACAGCAACGCUGUCCACAGCAACCCACGACAGUCACCACAGCCCAGCACCAAAACCAGUAAACCCAACCAUCUCAUCUUCCAAACCAUCAAAUCUACACAACACCAGCAGCCUGCACAGACCCAUUUCUCUCUCCCUCUCGGUUCAACUAACCAGCCACCGGGCAGCCACCCCUCAACAACCACAAGAACCAUCCACAGCAGCGUCGCCCCUCCUGCCACCACCGCUCCAGUAUUUCUCUCCUCACUAGCAUAAAAACCCGAUACCAGUAACCCAAAAUCAACAUAAGCAGCCUCGGAGAAGGCACAAGCCACUUCAAAAGCCAUUGGAAAUAAAUGGGUCAAGGCUCAAAUCUCAUUAAAGCCAAUAAAGCUAAUAGCCCAACUCUUAUUAUCCAUACAAGUUUAAAGCCUAAACUUUUUUUUUUCAUAUGGAUCCAAAGCCCAUUCUUAACAAUUUUAAUGUAAUUUUAUUUUAGGAAUAAUUAUCAUUGGUCAU
rnacentral:lncRNA from 1 species